GAUGAACGCUAGCGGCAGGCCUAAUACAUGCAAGUCGAACGGUGUCUUCGGACAUAGUGGCGCACGGGUGCGUAACACGUAUGCAACCUACCUUACAUUGGGGGAUAGCCUUUCGAAAGGGAGAUUAAUACCGCAUAAGACAGUAGCUGGGCAUCCAGCAGCUGUUAAAGAUUUAUCGAUGUAAGCUGGGCAUGCGUCCAAUUAGCUAGUUGGUGAGGUAACGGCACACCAAGGCAAUGAUUGGUAGGGGAACUGAGAGGGCAAUCCCCAACACUGGCACUGGGAUCCGGGCCAGACUCCUACGGGAGGCAGCAGUAGGGAAUAUUGGGCAAUGGACGCAAGUCUGACCCAGCCAUGCCGCGUGCAGGAUGAAGGCGUUAUGCGUUGUAAACUGCUUUUAUACAGGAAGAAACGACUCUUGCGAGAGGCAUUGACGGUACUGUAUGAAUAAGCACCGGCUAACUCCGUGCCAGCAGCCGCCGUAAAAC
rnacentral:rRNA from 1 species